CACGGAAUGACGCUGGAGUGACGAAGCAGGUACGGGGAGUGAACAUUUAAUAAACAACUGACAUAGACGAGACAGGAACAGUGUCAGAAACAGAUACAAAGAAACAAUCAAUGCAGCAGCAGAGAACAGAGCUGGGAACAGACAAAUAUAGGGGAAGAAAUGAACAUGUGAUAAAUGAAUCCAGGAGACACCUAUGAGCAGACUAUAGAGCCAAACCAACAUGAAGUGUAUGCAGAAGUGGGUAGUAAUGUUCUUCUUUCCUGCAACUACUCCUCAGCAGACAGUCUACUAUGGUAUCAACAGUCUCCAGGAUCAGCUCCCCAAUACCUUCUGCUCAUCCAGCACUACACUGGGAUUGAACAGAGAGCUGAUUCUCUUGACUCUCGCUUCUCUGGUAAACUGAACAAAGAGAAGACCCGUGUGGAUCUGGAGAUCUCUUCUGCUGAAGUGACAGACUCUGCUCUGUACUACUGUGCUCUGAGGCCCACAGUGACAGGAAACCUCAGAAACACAAUACAAAAACUGAUCCUCACGAUACAAACACAGACAACCUGAAUCUGAGAACCCUAGAACCUGAGUCUGAAUAGCUCUUAAUAACUUCCAUCCAUUAUAUUCCCUUCUUUUAAUAGGAAAGUAAUUUGCACGUUCAACUGCCAGUGACCAGACUUUACAUUCAGAAAUGAAAUGAAUAUGUAAUAAAAAUCAGAAUAUUUUCAAAUGACUAAACAUUCUAAACAUUCUCUCAUAUAAAUACCAUUUAUUCCAUCUCUAUAGUGAUUUAUUAAACCAAACCUUCCUCACCACCACCACACCUCAUUAAGAGCCAUCAUUCAAUGGGUUUUAUGUCAUAGAGAGGAGAUACAAAUGAUCCUGUUCAAACUGUACAUACAGUAGCUAUUUUAGUAUGUAAAUCUAGGUAGGGAAAACUCCCCAAUUGCUUUGUAGAUGCAUGCCAGCAAAGCUACUACACAACACAACACUAAACAAUACUUUAAUUGCACCAUAACUGUGAUAAGCAGUGCCCACAAACUGUUCGGGCCUACAUAAGCUUGAUGUAUUCUGCUUCGGUAUGAUGGAACCUUUUCUCUCAUUGGUUCUAUCUAAUUAAUAUAUAUGUUUAUUAUCACUCACUUUAUACUUUUUUUUUAUCUUCCAGAGUGCACAGCAGACCAUGUCCAACAGCAACCAGGAAGUGUGAUUGCUACAGAAGGAGGACUGGUGACACGGAGUUGUCAAUAUACCACCACUGGAGCUAAUAAUAUUCAAUAUCUCUAUUGGUACAAACAAGAAGCAAAUGAUUUCCCUAAAUAUAUGCUGAGAAGUUAUUCUUUUGGAUCUGGAGGCAAUGCUGUAGGGUUCAAGGAGAGAUUCAUUGCAAGUCUAAACGCAAAGACACAAUCAGUCCCUUUGACGAUCCAGAGGUUGCGUCUGU